rnacentral:rRNA from 1 species
UACGAAGGGGGCUAGCGUUGCUCGGAAUCACUGGGCGUAAAGCGCACGUAGGCGGUUUGCUAAGUCAGGGGUGAAAUCCUGGAGCUCAACUCCAGAACUGCCUUUGAUACUGGCGGACUUGAGUCCGGGAGAGGUGAGUGGAACUGCGAGUGUAGAGGUGAAAUUCGUAGAUAUUCGCAAGAACACCAGUGGCGAAGGCGGCUCACUGGCCCGGUACUGACGCUGAGGUGCGAAAGCGUGGGGAGCAAACGGG